GUCCACGCGCUGCGGCCUUGGAGUAACUGCUGUUCUUAAAGGCUGCCUCCGUCCUGCCGCGCGGCCUUUAGAGGGUUGGAGCUGGCAGAACCGUAACUCCCUCUCUGAGGGUGAAUACGGGCCUUGAUUGCCAGAAGGGCCCUCGGCCGGGGACGCGGGAUGAUGCGGGGCCGGGAGAUGCUUUCCUGGAGGCUGAGAAACCUGGAGGGAGACCCCCAAAACUUCUCAGUUCGCCGACCCCUUGGUCCCAGAGGGAGAGGAGCAUCCCCAAAGAACAUUCAAGUCUGAGCCUCAAGGAGCCUCUGCGACUCGGUGUCUAGAUCCAGGAAAUGGAGAAUGAGCCGUGACUUUGGAUGCUUCACUCUUGUCCAUCAGGCUCGGAAUUGGUGAGCAUCUCCCACAUUACCGUCUCCAACGGAACAAGGUGCCCCAUUGGACAUUUCCUCUGCAUGGACCAGCCAUUCUCCAAAUCUGCCCCCAUGUCACCCCAGCUCCCCAUCGCAGUCACUUCUCACUCCUUGUCCCCUGUCCCCCUGAGUGACAGGACUUUUGCCAGUUAGGUCCUGUCCCUGUUUCUGAUCUUGGGUCCAUUCCCCAUGGUCCCUUUCUUGCUUGUGCCUUGGGAUCUCAGGCCUGUUGAAGUAGGAGGCAGGACUCAACUUCAGACCAGAUUGAAGACUGGCUGACACAGAAGAGGCACCAAAAGCACCUCUCUCUCCAUAAGACAUGCCCACCAGUGCCAUGACAGUUUACCAUUGCUAUGGCAAUGCCCAGAAGUUCUCACCCCUUUUCCAGACAUUUCUGCAUAAUCUACCCCUCAAUUGGCAUGUGAUCAAAAGUGGGUGUCAAAAUGACUGUGGAACUGUCCCUGAGCUGCUACUCUUGACAUGCUGGUUACAGGGUAGCCCGGCUCUGCAGGGACAGUCACGGAGCUGAAAAACUGCUGCCUAAUGAAGCUGUUUUCUUCUACCACCGGCUCACCCUCAAAUUAUUUCCUGAGCGAACUCAAGAACCUUCCUGGGCUAAGCCCCAAUUUUGGGGCUCGCCUGCCCCUGCAUCACAGCUUCCUCUUCUGUUCACAGCUGCAACCGCCUACUCAACCUUCUGCGGUUCCUCUCCCUGCCCCUCCACAGUGGCUGCUGAUGGGAGCUCUGGCUCCCUGCGUUUUCACUAUCUCCCAGUCAAAUGCAGAGUCCCUGUGCAAUUUAAAUGCUUCUCAGCUAAGAACAGAGAAGGGGAUAGCAUAAGGAUAUUCAAAAGAUUCAAGAAAUCUCAAAAGUGAUCACAAAACAUUUGUCUCUGACCAACCAGAAACAUCGACGGGUGAGAAGGGCAUUUCCUCUAGCUGAAUUCUUCAUGGGUCUUCAGGCUCUGUUUUCACUUUGGAUUUUCUGGAGUCUCCUGAAGGUUACCUGAAAUCUUGUUGGUCCUGAAUAUUGUAUGUGGAGUCCCAAGCUGCAAGAAGUCAGUGGGGCUGGACGGGAGCCAAAAUCAGAGACUCAAGCAGCACAGCUGGGCCCCAUUGAAAGUGAGACCAGCUGUCCCAGUUGGAAGCUGGGGUAUAGAGCUGGGGAUGGGUGGAGGCAGUGACAGGCUCCAUGUAUUGGUCAUUCAGACUCCCCAGUAGCCUCAGGACCCAACUCCCACAGGUCAGAGAAGACCUGGUGGAGGGCCUUAUGCAAACCUCAGUGGGUGAUGCAGGAGGGAGUUUUCUGAGCAGGAAUGCCAACAAAAAAGGCCUUCAAAGGAAGGCCCUGCUUGGGACAAUCCUGCCUCUUUAUGGUCUGGUUCACAGGUUCCCCUGGGUGGGGUAAUGGAAUCCAAGCUAAGGUGUCUGACUUCAAAAGUUUUCAGAAAUGCCACUUUUGUAAGCAUCAGGGAUUGGGUUUUCUGAGAUGCAAAACAUCUUUGUUAAGGGGUUAAAGCAUCCUUAAGCUGUUUAGGUUUCUGGGGAUACAUAGACUUAGGAAGUUAGAGCAGGUGAAGUUGAGGGGGAUGGGAACUAAGAAUUAGCUCAAAAUAGUCACCAAUGCAGAAACCCAGGCACUUGGGACCCUGACAGUGGGGAAGGCAGAGGAGUAACUGUGGGGACUUGGGCACCCUAUUAGCAGAAUGGGGUAACAGAGAAGGCAAGAAUUGCUUCCCAGGAGACUGGGCUGGGAACAGGAAGGGGACUAAAAUGCUGUCCCUGGCUGAAGAGUGUGGAGGUAUAGAGGAGCUGGUAGCAGGGCUCUGAAUCCAUACACGAGAGCAAGGACCAGUGGUUUCAGGGUGGGAUAGGGCUUUGAUGUCUUCAUGGACUUAGGGUAAUAUUCACCACCAUGGUGAAUUCCACAAAGGAGAAUUCACACAAAGGUCUCGGACCAGCCAGUUUCCAUGUGAAAAAGCCAUCUGGGAGCAAGGGAACAAACCCAGGAAUACAACUGUAUUGGGGGAAAUUCAGCCAGACAUAGGGCAAAAUUCACCCCCAAUAUUUCAUGUAGGUUCUUUUCUAUUUUCCGUAAGUGUCGGCCGGUCUGAGAAAUAAAGGGACAGAGCUCAAAAGAGAGAAAUUUUAAAGCUGGGUGUCUGGGGGAGACAUCACAUGUCGGCAGGUUCCGUGAUGCCCCCCGAGCCGUAAAACCAGCAAGUUUUUAUUCGUGAUUUUCAAAAGGGGAGGGGGAGUGUAUGAAUAGGGUGUGGGUCACAGAGAUCACAUGCUUCACAAGAUAAUAAGAUAUCACAAGGCAAAUGGAGGCAGGGCGAGAUCACAGGACCACAGGACCGGGGCAAAAUUAAAAUUGCUAAUGAAGUUUCGGGCAUGCAUUUUCAUUGAUAACAUCUUAUCAGGAGACAGGGUCUGAGAGCAGACAACCGGUCUGACCAAAAUUUAUUAGGCGGGAAUUUCCUCGUCCUAAUAAGCCUGGGAGCGCUAUGGGAGACUGGGGCUUAUUUCAUCCCUACAGCUUUGACCAUAAAAGACGGCCGCCCCCCGAAGCGGCCAUUUCGGAGGCCUACCCUCAGGGACACAUUCUCUUUCUCAGGGAUGUUCCUUGCUGAGAAAAAAAAUUUAGCGAUAUUUCUCCCAUUUGUUUUUGAAAGAAGAAAAAUAUGGCUCUGUUCUGCCUGGCUCACCGGCAGUCAGAGUUUAAGGUUAUCUCUCUUGCUCCCUGAACAUUGCUGUUAUCCUGUUCUUUUUUCAAGGUGCCCAGAUUUCAUAUUGUUCAAACACACAUGCUCUACAAACAAUUUGUGCAGUUAACGCAAUCAUCACAGGGUCCUGAGGCGACAUACAUCCUCCUCAUUUUACAAAGAUGAUGGGAUUAAGAGAUUAAAGACAGGCAUAGGAAAUCACAAGGGUAUUGAUUGGGGAAGUGAUAAGUGUCCAUGAAAUCUUCACAAUUUAUGUUCAGAGAUUGCAGUAAAGACAGGCGUAAGAAAUUAUAAAAGUAUUAAUUUGGGGAACUAAUAAAUGUCCAUGAAAUCUUCACAAUCCACAAUUAUUCUGCCAUGGCUUCAGCCGGUCCCUCCAUUUGGGGUUCCUGACUUCCCGCAACACAAGUGGAGAGAGAGGUGGCCUGACAUUAUGGCUAAGUUGAUAUGGAAGCAUUCUGGUUUGUUCUAGAAAAAAUGAAAGAGGUGGUGCAGGUAAUCAUCAGCUCCUGGUUCUGUAGCAAGGCUUUUGCUGCAAUCCCAGGAGGUAGCAACCUAGGCUUUGGUUCUGAAAGAAGAGGGUCUACCUUCCUGAAUCAUUUUUAGGAGUCUGCUGAUGGCCAGGCUUGGUGAGUUGGACUCUGUAAGGAAUUUUUAUUUAAGUGAGGUCUGGGUAGGAAAAGAGAAGGGAAAAACUUGACCCUGCCUGCACCAAAGGAUUCUGGGAAGGAGAAUAAAGAGAAAAACCCUUCUUCAUGUUUCUGCUUCAGAGCAGGAGAACCAUCACAAGCUAAGUAAAGUCAAUGAAGGGCGAGUGGCCCUAUGGCCACCUGGGCACACACCUGCCCCUUGGCCACCUUGCAUAGGCAGGCUGAGGAGGUCACUAAGGCUUGGUUUUCCUGACCUGCCCUGAUUCCACAUGCUGUAAGGAGGACCCAGAAGGCUGUGUGGCUACAGAGGUGCCCAGCAUGGUGGGGGUCACUUCAGUGUGGACACUAGACUGGACCGCGUGGAACUACAACCAGCUCAGAGCGCCAGCCAGAGUGCUGUUCUGGCCAGAAGGAGGAGCCAAGACCCACACCCAGGAGGACAAUGAGCCCCUCUCUGCAGACAGGAGCCAGCCACACCUGGGGUCUGGGGAGACUCUUCCUGAUUCCAAAUGGGACUGAACUUUAAACCAGACUGGGCAUUUGAGCAAUUUUUUAAAAGCUGUCAACCAAAUAAAGGAAUGCCA
rnacentral:lncRNA from 1 species